rnacentral:miRNA from 8 species
CAAUGUUUCCACAGUGCAUUA